UACGAAGGGGGCUAGCGUUGUCCGGAAUCAUUGGGCGUAAAGAGCGUGUAGGCGGCCCGAUAAGUCCGCCGUGAAAGUCCAGGGCUCAACCCUGGAAUGCCGGUGGAUACUGUCGGGCUCGAGUCCGGAAGAGGAGUGUGGAAUUCCUGGUGUAGCGGUGAAAUGCGCAGAUAUCAGGAGGAACACCUAUUGCGAAGGCAGCUCGCUGGGACGUAACUGACGCUGAGACGCGAAAGCGUGGGGAGCAAACAGG
rnacentral:rRNA from 1 species